GUGCUCUUUUGGCAGCACAUAUACUGAAAUUGGAACAAUACUGAAUGAUUUGCAUAGGCCUUGCACAAAAAAUGACAAGAAAAUUUGUGAAGCAUUCUUUAUUUAU
rnacentral:snRNA from 1 species